UACGAAGGGGGCUAGCGUUGUUCGGAAUCACUGGGCGUAAAGCGCACGCAGGCGGAUUGAUAAGUCAGGGGUGAAAUCCCGGGGCUCAACCUCGGAAUUGCCUUUGAUACUGUCUGUCUUGAGUUCGGGAGAGGUUGGCGGAAUUCCUAGUGUAGAGGUGAAAUUCGUAGAUAUUAGGAAGAACACCGGUGGCGAAGGCGGCCCACUGGAUCGGUACUGACGCUGAGGUGCGAAAGCGUGGGGAGCAAACAGG
rnacentral:rRNA from 1 species